ensembl:piRNA 21ur-13256 ncRNA
UGAGCAGUGAUUUAAAUUGGC